AGGGUCACACAGAAAGGACAAAGUGUGUCAUCACAGGACUGUGUGAGGUCUGACGCAGAACUCACUGGAAUUGCUGGAAAUAUAAGGUGCUUUGGCUCAGACCCAAACAGACCAGCCAGAAAUAAUGCUGAAAAGAGCUGAGAGGCUAAGCAUGGAAGAAGGGCAAGAUGCAAAAACAUUUCUGGGCAUAGAAGUCGGCUUCUUGGCUCCCUCUUUCGCCAGUGCUCUGGGUAUGGCAUGGCUAACACAGGAGAACAGCCCAUUGCUGAUCCUAGCCAUGACCUAGGAGGGCCAUGGUCAAUGGUGGAGAUGCCACAGCUCUACAGUUCCUAGAAGGUAGGAUGACCACAGCUUCCCAGGCGUCAUUCCCAUAGGUCAAACUGGACAGGCUGUCUCUGCUAGCAAACUGGCUUUGGAAGAAAGUUCACUGAAGCUUAAUACAAGGUACUACAGGUAAUAAAGACUGAAGAGCAUGGUUAGCAGAAAAAAAAUCCCUAAAAUUAAAACCCACACACAAAGACCAUUUAAGCGUGAUACUGCAGUGAAAUUCCUUCUGUUGUCAGGGUGACACUCACAGUGUCACUGGGGUGUACAUAUCUAGCACACUCCAUGGCUCAAACAGGAGACUAGGCAGCAAGUUUGAGGAGUGUAGGUAGAUUAGGGAUUGGCCCAGGGCAAAUGAGGUGCUGAUGAGAUGUGUGCAGAAGAAAAUGGGUGUGAGAGGAGAAAGAGAGAGGGUAAGGAGUGAAAAACAGCAGAUGCAGAAGUCCAAGGAAGCAGAGGAGAGAGUGACAGAGGAACAGACUGUCCCUGCAAGAAUGUUCUCUCUAGGGGUACCUCUGGAUCAAAAAUUACAGGAUAUAAAUGGUGAAAGGUGAGUGCCAUGAGCAGAUCCUUGUGUUGAGUCACGAAGUGUGAAGCUGCUGUCCCAUGGAGGAAGGGCUCAGCAUGCCCAGGCCGCCUGGCUGACAGCUGAUCCCAAAAGAAGCCACGGGCACCCGCUACCCGAUCCCAGUCUGAAGGGUUUCAUCCCCACUCAAGCCUCCGCCCUAGCUAAGGGGCAGGCUCUUUCCGGGGGGGAGCUUCUCACCACCGGUGCCACGGGCGGGCAGGCCGCCGGGUCCCACGGGAGGAGCAGCUGGGCACGGCCGCUCGCCGCGGGGAAUGGAGCGCCGGACCCGCGCCCGCCGCUGGGGCCAUGUUGGCAGCCCGGGAACGGGCAGCGCCUGGCAGCGUCAGACGGGAAGCCCGGGCUUCAGGAGGAGCCAGUUUCGGCUGCCCCCGCUCCCCCCCGCGGUCGC